rnacentral:rRNA from 1 species
CCCUUAGACGUUCUGGGCCGCACGCGCGCUACACUGACCAGUGCAACAAGCAUCCGUCCUUGGCCGACAGGCUCGGGCAAUCUUUGAACGCUGGUCGUGAUGGGGAUAGACUUUUGCAAUUUUUGGUCUUCAACGAGGAAUUCCUAGUAAACGCAAGUCAUCAACUUGCAUUGAUUACGUCCCUGCCCUUUGUAUACACCGCCCGUCGCACCUACCGAUUGAAUGGUCCGGUGAAGCCUCCGGAUUGGCGCGCACCUCGGUGCCGCCGAGAAGUUGGCUAAACCUUACCAUUUAGAGGAAGGUGAAGUCGUAACA